UAGGGAAUUUUGCGCAAUGGGCGAAAGCCUGACGCAGCGACGCCGCGUGAGUGAAGAAGGCCUUCGGGUUGUAAAGCUCUGUCAGAAGGGACGAAUAAGUCUGCUCAAAUAGAUCAGAUGAUGACGGUACCUUCAGAGGAAGCACCGGCUAACUCUGUGCCAGCAGCCGCGGUAAUACAGAGGGUGCAAGCGUUAUUCGGAAUUACUGGGCGUAAAGCGCAUGCAGGUGGGAUAGAAAGUCAGAUGUGAAAUCCCGGGGCUCAACUCCGGAAUUGCAUUUGAAACUUCUAUUCUUGAGUCUGAGAGAGGGAGAUAGAAUUCCUGGUGUAGAGGUGAAAUUCGUAGAUAUCAGGAGGAAUACCGGAGGCGAAGGCGGUUUCCUGGCUCAGAACUGACACUCAGAUGCGAAAGCGUGGGUAGCAAGCAGG
rnacentral:rRNA from 1 species